rnacentral:rRNA from 1 species
UACAGAGACUGCAAGCGUUAUUCGGAUUUACUGGGCGUAAAGAGCGUGUAGGCGGCCACGCAGGUCCGUUGUGAAAACUGGAGGCUCAACCUCCAGCUGUCGACGGAAACCGUAUGGCUAGAGUCCGGAAGAGGAGAGUGGAAUUCCUGGUGUAGCGGUGAAAUGCGCAGAUAUCAGGAAGAACACCAAUGGCGAAGGCAGCUCUCUGGGACGGUACUGACGCUGAGACGCGAAAGCGUGGGGAGCAAACAGG